AUGGAGACCCCGACCACCGGAGGCGAUGGAAUCGAGUUCUUAUCAUAUCCAGUCGACAGAUUUCCCCUGCCGGAUCUGGGCGGCGCAUCUGCGCCGCUGGACCAUGGUGCGAGCCAAGCUUUAGGGGUUGCUCUGUCCGCACCGGCGUCCGAGCAAUCUACAGGCAAAGACAACCCUCAAGCUCCUGGUUGGGCUAAAAGAAUCCGUAUGGGGCGUGCACCUGAUGAUGAACGACCCCCAUGUGCUGCCAGGAUGAGUGCACUGGAAAUGGCGUUACCAAGCUAUGCAGAAAAGAAAACUGAAACUGUCAUAGUUCCAGCUAUGCAGAAAAGAAAACUGAAACUGUCAUAUGGUGUAGAUGAUCUCCCUUUUGAACUCACUUUUGCCAUCCUUCUCCUAGCAACAAAAAAGAAGCUGAUCAAUCCCAAGGAGAUUAAUGUAGAUGAUCUCCUUUUUGCCUUCCUUCUCCUAGCAAAAAAAAAGAUGAUCAAUCUCAAGAUUACAAAAAAGGAAACAACGAGGUCUAAUGGAGAAUAUAACGACGAGGUCUAA
rnacentral:rRNA from 1 species